CGGAGGGGCUAGCGUUGUUCGGAAUUACUGGGGCGUAAAGCGCACGUAGGCGGAUCGGAAAGUUGGGGGUGAAGUCCCGGGGCUCAACCUCGGAACUGCCUUCAAAACUACUGGUCUGGAGUUCGAGAGAGGUGAGUGGAAUUCCGAGUGUAGAGGUGAAAUUCGUAGAUAUUCGGAGGAACACCAGUGGCGAAGGCGGCUCACUGGCUCGAUACUGACGCUGAGGUGCGAAAGCGUGGGGAGCAAACAGGAUU
rnacentral:rRNA from 1 species